GGUAUAUACAUAUAUAUAGUUUUAUAUUUAAGUUGUAGUACAAUAAUGGAUUUAACAGAAGUAACAAUGUCUUUGAAAUAAGUGUUGGUACAUACAAUUAACCAUCAGAGUAUAUAAUAAUCUGGGAACUAAUACAGAGCAAAAUCAUAUUAAGAUCUUGAGACUUUUUAAGAUUUUGCUAUUCUAGUAUUAUUCCAAAAUGACUUUGGAACAGAGAGAAUGAGAGCCUAUAGUGAACAUCAAAUGGUUCACUCUAGCAAAAAUAGCUCAAAAGUAAAUCUUUAUUGGCACAAGUUUUUACUUUGAAUCAGUAGGAACCAGUGUAUUUUUGAGUUAAACUCCAGGGAUUAUUCAUACCUACUUAAAGAUGAGGACAACAAAGCCUAUGUUAUCUGCUAAAGUCAUGCUAAAUCAUUCAGGUACAGAACCUAAAUAAA
rnacentral:lncRNA from 1 species